UGGAUUGCUUUUUCUUUUUGCAGCUUCAUUUUGAUAACGAAUAAGCAUUUCUGGUACUUUAUUUUUAAUUGUGCUAUAGAAACACUUCUAUAAAGGGGUGCUGGCAUCUUAAUGCAGAAAAUCAUCUAUUGUGUAAAUGUAAUUUCAGCUAAUUGACCGGUUUGCCUUUCGGCUUCAGCCCAUCAACCCUGCAGUUCUGGAGACUUUGACUUUUCAAACGUAAACUUCAGAAGAUUCAUCAAACGUGUUUUUCAUAGAGACUCAGCUGCACACAUCUCCAAAGAGCAGAUCUCUGCUGAAGUUUGGUGCCAUCAUGCAAACGUCUCAGCAGGUUUUCAGAAGACGGCGGCGUUUCAUCCGAGAUAAAUUAGAGGAUGAACAGUCAGCGCUGCAACCAAAACCACCCGUUUAGUGAAGCAAACCUAGAGCAGUUCAGUCUGAACCUGAUAGACCACAGCUGACGCUUCUUUAGGAUGGAGGAGACACAGAAAAAAAGAGAAGGAACCACUGGAGUAGGAGCAAAUGCCUCCUGAAGUUUCAUCGUCCUGAACAGACUCACACGUGGAACAUGUUGGCCACAGCGGCGGCGUCCAGAGCUGCUGCUGAACUCAGCGUUUUGUCACCCAGAAGAAUCACCAGGGGGAAUUCCAGACGUAAUAAAAUAAGAUUUUCAUUUUAUUGUCUUUAUGAACAUUUAAAAAACCAAACUCGUACAUAAUGAACUGUGAGCCACCGGGCGGCCAUGCUACGUUCUGCAUUUACAAAGAGAAGCCACUAAGAGAAGUAAAAGAAAAAAAAA